GUGGAUGGCAUCUUUUUAUCCUCUCUUCUUUCCAUAAAGGCUUACACCGGGUUUAACUUGAGUAUUUGCGUCUCCACUUUCAAUUCCUCUUUCCGAAGGAAACUAGAAAUUUCCUCUGAGCUUCUCCUCCUUCGCUUGCCGCCUUGCAGGCCAUCUUUCUCUAUAAAACACGCCAAUUUUAAUACCCAUGUUAGUCAUUUGAAAGAAAAAGCUACAGGGCUCCACAGAUAGGAAAGAAAAAUGAGUUAUUACGACCAGCAGCAUCCGGUGGGUGUUCCUCCACCACAAGGGUAUCCAAAAGAUGCAUAUCC
rnacentral:misc_RNA from 1 species